rnacentral:tRNA from 1 species
GGUCUCGUAGCUCAGUUGGCAAGAGCAUUGGCUGUACUAAAGCCUUCCGCUUGUUGGCAUGGGUUCGAAUCCCACUGAGGCCA